AAUUCUCUCGAACCAAUUGAGGUUCGGAUGUGGACGUUGUUGUUCUAAUACAACUCGUCUUGAAAUUCAUUAGCUGAUCUCUUAGUCUGGCGGACGGUGUAAUAAAUUGAAAUUAACACUGUUUGUCUAACAAUAAGGGUCGCUUCUAAUCUAAUCAUUUUUUAUU
rnacentral:misc_RNA from 1 species